UUUUCCUCUUUCGAAAUAACCGCCGGCAGAAGACUCGAGGUCUCGACUGGCGAACGAUAAAUCCCUUCCCCGGUUCUAGGCGGUCGUUCGAACGAUCGGCCCGACUUUAAGGUAUCACUGGAAUGCUGCUCGGGGUUGUGCAUACACAUUCUACGAUGACUUAUCUCCCAGCGACUUUACGGUUCCAACGCGCUGAGUGCCGGAGCGAGGAAGACUUAUCGCGCAUGACGUACCGCGGACUCUACGAGGAAUCGCUGUAGAAAGCGUUUUAUGCAAAAUCUAUGAAGCGACUACGAGCCAACCCGUUCUUCGGAUCAACGUUAACACCUUCCGACCGAAGCUACAAGUGGAUGUCACACGGUGCUGAAAGUAAAGGAAUCAAUGAGCUCCCCUGACGUUUUAUGACGCCAUUAAUCAUAGGUGGUGAGUGGUGAACUCGUUUUGGGAUUCGCAAAGAUACUCGCGGAAAAACGUGCAGGUCGCAUCGUUAGAGCCAGUCCUUA